UCUCCUCGUUGUCCCCGUCUGCACCGUCUGCCCCGGGGCUCAGAGUGAGUCUAUGAUCCUCGCUGUUGUGAGUUACCUUCCUUGUGUGUCCUCCUCGACGCUGCUGGUGUUACCAGUCAGACGCCACUCCUUGUGUGCUCGCCUUCCCCCUGUCAUCGGUCCGUCUCCAGUGGAUUUCCCUUCAGGACGCUAGAGGAUCUGUCAGUCUGACCCGAACCCAUCUGGAGAAAGGAAACAACUGGACCAAGUCGAACUCUGCUUGUUCCGCCUUAAACAAACCUGUCCGCCCUCCAACGAAGCUCCAUUAUCCAGCGCUCUGUUUUCAAGUACUCACCUUCAAACCAAUAAGACGACCCGGUCACCUGCUCCAGUAUUCUUCCCCUUCUUUUCCCUUUCCCUGGAAUCAAUAAACUUAUCAUUGUUCAUUUA